GAUGAACGCUGGAGGCGUGCCUAAUACAUGCAAGUCGAGCGGUAAGGCUUCUUCGGAAGUACACGAGCGGCGGACGGCUGAGUAAUGCAUAGGAACGUACCCCAAACUGAGGGAUAAGCCACCGAAAGGUGGUCUAAUACCGCAUGUGCUCUUCGGAGUAAAGCUACGGCGGUUUGGGAGCGGCCUAUGUUCGAUUAGCUUGUUGGUGAGGUAAUGGCUCACCAAGGCGACGAUCGAUAGCGGGUCUGAGAGGAUGAUCCGCCAGACUGGAACUGAGACACGGUCCAGACUCCUACGGGAGGCAGCAGUAGGGAAUUUUACACAAUGGGGGCAACCCUGAUGGAGCAACGCCGCGUGCAGGAUGAAGGCCUUCGGGUUGUAAACUGCUUUUCUCUGUGAUGAUUAUGACAGUAGCAGAGGAAUAAGGAUCGGCUAACUCCGUGCCAGCCGCCGCGGUAA
rnacentral:rRNA from 1 species